GAACGUUGGCGGCAGGCUUAACACAUGCAAGCGAACGAGAAAGCACCUUCGGGUGUGAGUAAAGUGGCGGACGGGUGAGUAACGCGUAGGAAUCUACCUGGUAGAGGGGACAACUCGGGGAAACUCGAGCUAAUACCGCAUAACAUCCUUCUUCUUCGGAGGAGGGAUCAAAGUGGGGGAUCUUCGGACCUCACGCUAUCAGAGGAGCCUGCGUUGGAUUAGCUUGUUGGUGAGGUAAAGGCUCACCAAGGCUACGAUCUAUAGCUGGUCUGAGAGGACGAUCAGCCACACUGGAACUGAGACACGGUCCAGACUCCUACGGGAGGCAGCAGUGGGGAAUCUUGGGCAAUGGCGCAAGCCUGACCCAGCCAUGCCGCGUGUGUGAAGAAGGCCUUCGGGUUGUAAAGCACUUUCAGUAGUGAAGAAAGCUUAGGGUUAAUACCCCUGAGUCUUGACGUUAACUACAGAAGAAGCACCGGCUAACUCCGUG
rnacentral:rRNA from 1 species